UACGGAGGAUGCAAGCGUUAUCCGGAUUUAUUGGGUUUAAAGGGUGCGCAGGUUGUUUGAUAAGUCAGUGGUGAAAGUCUGUCGCUUAACGGUAGGAUUGCCAUUGAUACUGUUAGACUUGAAUAUGGAUGAGGUAGGCGGAAUGUGUAGUGUAGCGGUGAAAUGCAUAGAUAUUACACAGAACACCGAUUGCGAAGGCAGCUUACUAAUCCAUCAUUGACGCUGAGGCAUGAAAGCGUGGGGAUCAAA
rnacentral:rRNA from 1 species